rnacentral:rRNA from 1 species
AUGCCAGACAGGAGAGGCGCGACCCUGUUCGAGGACCUGCCCGAGGAGAUCAUCAACAAAAUACUCGUCCUGUUGGCGUCCAAGGACGUCGGCCGCUGUCGAGUUGUGAACGCUUCAUGGUGCAGUGCCACAUCCACGCCUGAAUUCAUGCUCGAACACCACCGCCGCCAGCCGUCGCUCCCCAUUGUCGAUGGGUGUGGAAAGCCUGCCAAUCAUGUCGUCUUGGGCGACGCCGGUGCUGGUGCUUCCAAUCAACAGCUUUGGCCUUUCCUCUCAGGCUCCAAACACCGUUCCAGGAAUGAGCCCAUAGCCGUCUGUGAUGGCUUCCUUAUCGUUUCUUGGGGAUAUGAAUUCUACAUCUGCAAUCCGGUUACCCGCAAGCAUGCUCUCUUACCGCAGCCUCAAGUUGGGCAAGGCAUCGACAAUACCAUGGUUGGUUUCUACCAGCACCAUCCAACUGGAGAAUACAGGGUUCUCUGGGUCUCACGGUCACAUCAGACGUCUGAAUCCAGCUUAUAUGUCCUCACAGUGGGAUCCGACAGGCCAAGGCGCAUCAGCGUCAGAAUGCCAACAGUCUUGUCGUCUUCCGCAGAAGAGGAGUUAUGGAACAAGCUGAUCUAUUCAUACUGUUCAUCACCUGUACACCACCGUGACAGCCUCCACUGGUAUCCUUAUGGCACCAGUGACAUUGCAGGAGGCGGUGGAGAUAUCAUUGUGUUUGACACAGAAGCAGAGUCAUUCCGGUGGAUGCGCAGUCCCAACCAGCCGUGCAAUCAUAGUAAGUUGUUCGACAUGGAGGAAACACUUGCUUUCUGGGGCCGCUCAGUUUCUAACACUUCUAUGGAUGUCUGGGAGAUGCAGGAUUACGAGGCUGAAAUCUGGGCUUUCAGGUACAGGAUUGAUGUAUCAACGGUGGAGGCAUCAAGACAACUUUAUUUAACUUCUUUCAAAAAGAAAAAGACAAGACCACUUGAUUCUGCCGUGCGGUUGUUUAAUGAUAUGGCUGUGCUAAACGAGCGUGAGCUGCUGGUCAGGUUUAACCACCAACAUGUGUUGCGUUGUGAUAUUGAUGGCAAAUUCUUAGGUAUUGUGAACAUCGGAAAAAGUCAGUAUCGCAUGUGGCUUACCCCCCACCGCCUCAAAGAGAGCAUUGUUCCAAUUCCAGGCCAUGAGAUGCAAGAAGAUGAGGAGCCUCCAUUCUCCACAGGGCAUGUCUGA